rnacentral:rRNA from 2 species
GGGUUGUGAGGUUAAGCGACUAAGCGUACACGGUGGAUGCCCUGGCAGUCAGAGGCGAUGAAGGACGUGCUAAUCUGCGAUAAGCGUCGGUAAGGUGAUAUGAACCGUUAUAACCGGCGAUUUCCGAAUGGGGAAACCCAGUGUGAUUCGUCACACUAUCAUUAACUGAAUCCAUAGGUUAAUGAGGCGAACCGGGGGAACUGAAACAUCUAAGUACCCCGAGGAAAAGAAAUCAACCGAGAUUCCCCCAGUAGCGGCGAGCGAACGGGGAGGAGCCCAGAGCCUGAAUCAGUGUGUGUGUUAGUGGAAGCGUCUGGAAAGGCGCGCGAUACAGGGUGACAGCCCCGUACACAAAAAUGCACAUGCUGUGAGCUCGAUGAGUAGGGCGGGACACGUGGUAUCCUGUCUGAAUAUGGGGGGACCAUCCUCCAAGGCUAAAUACUCCUGACUGACCGAUAGUGAACCAGUACCGUGAGGGAAAGGCGAAAAGAACCCCGGCGAGGGGAGUGAAAAAGAACCUGAAACCGUGUACGUACAAGCAGUGGGAGCACAGAGCAAUCUGUGUGACUGCGUACCUUUUGUAUAAUGGGUCAGCGACUUAUAUUCUGUAGCAAGGUUAACCGAAUAGGGGAGCCGAAGGGAAACCGAGUCUUAACCGGGCGUUAAGUUGCAGGGUAUAGACCCGAAACCCGGUGAUCUAGCCAUGGGCAGGUUGAAGGUUGGGUAACACUAACUGGAGGACCGAACCGACUAAUGUUGAAAAAUUAGCGGAUGACUUGUGGCUGGGGGUGAAAGGCCAAUCAAACCGGGAGAUAGCUGGUUCUCCCCGAAAGCUAUUUAGGUAGCGCCUCGUGAAUUCAUCUCCGGGGGUAGAGCACUGUUUCGGCAAGGGGGUCAUCCCGACUUACCAACCCGAUGCAAACUGCGAAUACCGGAGAAUGUUAUCACGGGAGACACACGGCGGGUGCUAACGUCCGUCGUGAAGAGGGAAACAACCCAGACCGCCAGCUAAGGUCCCAAAGUCAUGGUUAAGUGGGAAACGAUGUGGGAAGGCCCAGACAGCCAGGAUGUUGGCUUAGAAGCAGCCAUCAUUUAAAGAAAGCGUAAUAGCUCACUGGUCGAGUCGGCCUGCGCGGAAGAUGUAACGGGGCUAAACCAUGCACCGAAGCUGCGGCAGCGACACUGUGUGUUGUUGGGUAGGGGAGCGUUCUGUAAGCCUGUGAAGGUGUGCUGUGAGGCAUGCUGGAGGUAUCAGAAGUGCGAAUGCUGACAUAAGUAACGAUAAAGCGGGUGAAAAGCCCGCUCGCCGGAAGACCAAGGGUUCCUGUCCAACGUUAAUCGGGGCAGGGUGAGUCGACCCCUAAGGCGAGGCCGAAAGGCGUAGUCGAUGGGAAACAGGUUAAUAUUCCUGUACUUGGUGUUACUGCGAAGGGGGGACGGAGAAGGCUAUGUUGGCCGGGCGACGGUUGUCCCGGUUUAAGCGUGUAGGCUGGUUUUCCAGGCAAAUCCGGAAAAUCAAGGCUGAGGCGUGAUGACGAGGCACUACGGUGCUAAAGCAACAAAUGCCCUGCUUCCAGGAAAAGCCUCUAAGCAUCAGGUAACAUCAAAUCGUACCCCAAACCGACACAGGUGGUCAGGUAGAGAAUACCAAGGCGCUUGAGAGAACUCGGGUGAAGGAACUAGGCAAAAUGGUGCCGUAACUUCGGGAGAAGGCACGCUGAUAUGUAGGUGAAGUCCCUCGCGGAUGGAGCUGAAAUCAGUCGAAGAUACCAGCUGGCUGCAACUGUUUAUUAAAAACACAGCACUGUGCAAACACGAAAGUGGACGUAUACGGUGUGACGCCUGCCCGGUGCCGGAAGGUUAAUUGAUGGGGUCAGCGCAAGCGAAGCUCUUGAUCGAAGCCCCGGUAAACGGCGGCCGUAACUAUAACGGUCCUAAGGUAGCGAAAUUCCUUGUCGGGUAAGUUCCGACCUGCACGAAUGGCGUAAUGAUGGCCAGGCUGUCUCCACCCGAGACUCAGUGAAAUUGAACUCGCUGUGAAGAUGCAGUGUACCCGCGGCAAGACGGAAAGACCCCGUGAACCUUUACUAUAGCUUGACACUGAACAUUGAGCCUUGAUGUGUAGGAUAGGUGGGAGGCUUUGAAGUGUGGACGCCAGUCUGCAUGGAGCCGACCUUGAAAUACCACCCUUUAAUGUUUGAUGUUCUAACGUGGACCCGUGAUCCGGGUUGCGGACAGUGUCUGGUGGGUAGUUUGACUGGGGCGGUCUCCUCCUAAAGAGUAACGGAGGAGCACGAAGGUUGGCUAAUCCUGGUCGGACAUCAGGAGGUUAGUGCAAUGGCAUAAGCCAGCUUGACUGCGAGCGUGACGGCGCGAGCAGGUGCGAAAGCAGGUCAUAGUGAUCCGGUGGUUCUGAAUGGAAGGGCCAUCGCUCAACGGAUAAAAGGUACUCCGGGGAUAACAGGCUGAUACCGCCCAAGAGUUCAUAUCGACGGCGGUGUUUGGCACCUCGAUGUCGGCUCAUCACAUCCUGGGGCUGAAGUAGGUCCCAAGGGUAUGGCUGUUCGCCAUUUAAAGUGGUACGCGAGCUGGGUUUAGAACGUCGUGAGACAGUUCGGUCCCUAUCUGCCGUGGGCGCUGGAGAACUGAGGGGGGCUGCUCCUAGUACGAGAGGACCGGAGUGGACGCAUCACUGGUGUUCGGGUUGUCAUGCCAAUGGCACUGCCCGGUAGCUAAAUGCGGAAGAGAUAAGUGCUGAAAGCAUCUAAGCACGAAACUUGCCCCGAGAUGAGUUCUCCCUGACCCUUUAAGGGUCCUGAAGGAACGUUGAAGACGACGACGUUGAUAGGCCGGGUGUGUAAGCGCAGCGAUGCGUUGAGCUAACCGGUACUAAUGAACCGUGAGGCUUAACCUUACAACGCCGAAGGUGUUU